rnacentral:lncRNA from 1 species
AAGAGUAAAGUACUUCCGCUUCCUUAGGUGGAGCUGGAAAGGUGGAGGCGGAAGUGACUGAUCAAUUCAGGGGCGUGGGGUUCGUUUAGGUUUUGCCCUGUGUAUGACCUCGUUUGGAGCCAUGAAACCAGGUCUGUGAAAUUUAGUGUCUAUUUUCUACCAUAACACAUGUUAAUUUGGACUAACCACAUUUCGAGUGCUCAGUAGCCACAUGUGGCUAGCGACUACUAUCUUGAGCAAUGCAACGAUAAGUCUGCACUUACGUUCAAAAAGACUUAAAGCAGGGAUCGACAACCCCCAGGCCACAGACUGGUAUGGAUCCAUGGCCUGUUAAGAACUGUGCCACACAGCAGGAGGUCACCAUGUGUGAUGACUACAUCCAAAGAGAGUGAGUGGCUUGAGACAUUGGUAGUAUGUGUAUCUGAUCAUAUCAAUAUGUUAAAAUGACGUUCAAAGUAUGAUCUACCUCAGAAUAAUCUAGCCUCAAGCUUUAUUCUAGGAAGGUAAUUCUGAAGAUACCUAUCUUCUUGAGAGUGAAAUUUUAUGGAAUCCUAGAUUUCUCAUACCUAGGAAUAACAAUACAAGGGACAGAAUAGUUAGCAGUGUUCCUGUUGAAAGGUCCAAGUAUCUCCCUAGGCACAGAAAACACCCAAAUGAGCAAAGCAGACCUUGGUGGCCAGAGGGGAGCCCUCAGGUAGAGCUGCAGAUGCUGGCAGUUUGUGUUAGAAGGUUCCGGGGCUAAACAGAUGCCUAGAAUUAGCCACCAAAAGGUAAAUUGUAGACUCCACUCUUCAAGAAGCAGCAGAAGGAUUAGGAAUUCAAACAGUGCUAUUUUACGGUCAUAAGAACAGACAGUAUUUUUUUGGCGCAGCAAGAACUUCUUAGGCCAUAAAGCAUGACAGACCUCUUUUCCUUAUGCGCUGAAUUGAAGAAGUGCUGACUCUUUUGCUGAUGGAAGCUCUUCCACGAGUUCACGAAUGGAAAUAACAUCAAGAGUUUUUCAUCUUCUUAGUGUGCAAGGUAUGGAUAUUCUGUGUGUGAACUUCAAGAGUAUCUAAGGGAGGCAAUAACAUGGUUGAUAAUAUACCAGAGACUACAAACUGUCUGUGCAUCCCAGAGGAACAGGAAGCUUGUGCAGGUGAAAAGACUGGAGGAGGAAGUAUGUUGAUGAUACCCAGGAAGCCCACCUUCCACUUCUUUGGUCAUCAGAAAUGUCUGAGGAAUAGUCUUAGUGGAUUAUCCCAAACUUGACACAUUUUUUGCAAAAUGCUAUACAAAAAGAAGAUACAUGCGAUUAUGACAAGAUUCUCCACUUGGUGUGACCAGUCUCAUACAACCCAAGGCUGUGUGUCCAAAGGCAACUGUACUGAUCUUGACAAUAAUCAAAAGGUAGCCAGGUGCAUCGGGGAAAGCACUGACAUUGGAGUCAGACAGACUGAAGUUCAUAUCUGAUUCUGCUAUAUGACAACGUGUGGGCUAUGUGGCUAACUUCUCAGAGCUUCAGUUUUCUCAAGGGCAAAAUGAAAAUAAUAGAAAUAAUAGAAUCCACCUCACAGGGCUGUGGUGAGAAUUGGAGAUGAAGCACAUACAGCAUAUUACAUCAACUAAACACAUGCUAAAAAUUAAAGGGGAUGAAAGAUACAUUGGUCCCUGCAGUGGGAAGUUUCCUUGACAAUGCAAUUAUUGAUUCCAGUGAAGGAGCAGCUUUGGCUUACUAUUCAAGCUCGAGGUCAGGGCUUGAAAACUUGAAAAAUGGAAAAAGGAUUAAGAGAACCUUAUAUUCCUGAAUAGCAAAGGAAGAAGCAACAAUUCUUCUGAAAUCUCAUAGUCGAAAGCUAAAGACAGGGGCCUAGGUCAAGCUCAAAGUCACUUACAGGACGUGAAAAUCACCUCGGAUUUAAUCUAGGCUUAGCAGCUACAGGAAAAGAACUGAAGAAAGGCCUUGUUUUAUGUUUUCUGACAGUAAAAUGAAAUAAAACGUGGAAUAUUAUAGAAAGGAUUUUGUAAGUGAAAGGGAGUGGUUGAGAAGAGGCAAAGUGAGUGUUGGAAAGGAUAUUGAAACUUGAAGAAGGCUGGAAGAAGAGGUCAAGGGAAUCCUAUGACUGAAAGCAGCAUCAGAGACACAAACAUACUGAUCUUGGAGCCCUGCAAAUACAUCUCUUUAUAUUGAACAUUUUGAGUCUUUUUCUAUUCCUAGGUGUGUUUACUAAAUUAUACAAGUCUGCUAAUACCAAUUAUCCUAUAAAUGCCCUUCUUAAUUCUUAAAAU